rnacentral:misc_RNA from 2 species
AACGCACCUUGCGCUCCUUGGUAUUCCGAGGAGCAUGCCUGUUUGAGUGUCAUUAAAUUCUCAACUUCACCAAUUUUGUUGAUGAAGCUUGGAUGUGGGGGUCUGCAGAACCUGUUUUCACGGUGUACUGCUCCUCUGAAAUGAAUUAGCGAGUUCAAACUAGGCUCGGUCUAUUGGUGUGAUAAUUAUCUACGCCGUGGAUUGGGCUUAGACUUGCUUCUAACCGUCUGCAAAGACAAACUCUGACCAAUUUGACCUCAAAUCAGGUAGGACUACCCGCUGAACUUAA